rnacentral:rRNA from 1 species
GAUGAACGCUAGCUACAGGCUUAACACAUGCAAGUCGGGGGGUAGCAGGGUAGCAAUACCGCUGACGACCGGCGCACGGGUGAGUAACACGUAUCCAACCUUCCCAUAACUCGGGGAUAGCCUUUCGAAAGAAAGAUUAAUACCCGAUAGUACUUUAUUAAGGCAUCUUAAGAAAGUUAAAGAUUGAUUGGUUAUGGAUGGGGAUGCGUUCCAUUAGGUAGUUGGUGAGGUAACGGCUCACCAAGUCUUCGAUGGAUAGGGGUUCUGAGAGGAAGGUCCCCCACAUUGGUACUGAGACACGGACCAAACUCCUACGGGAGGCAGCAGUGAGGAAUAUUGGUCAAUGGGCGAGAGCCUGAACCAGCCAAGUAGCGUGAAGGAUGAAGGUCCUAUGGAUUGUAAACUUCUUUUAUAGUAGAAUAAAGUGAACCACGUGUGGUUUUUUGUAUGUAUACUAUGAAUAAGGAUCGGCUAACUCCGUGCCAGCAGCCGCCGCCGUAA